rnacentral:lncRNA from 1 species
CUGAAGGCAGACCGGUCUCCUCCCCCUGCCCGCGCCCCAGCUCCUCCCGGCUGCCUUUCUGUUCGGAACCAAGAGUUUACAAGUGGCCUUUCAAAGGCGCAGCAGCCCUGCAGGGCCAAGCUGCUGCAUCUGUGAAGAUGUUACCCUCCGCCCUUCCCAACCGCACAGCCUCAGACCCAUUUUUCCCCCCGCUGGGUUGCGAGGGAGGGGAAUUUCUAGUGUCCUGUUCCCAGAUGAAAAGGAGCCUAAGGUGUGAAGAAUCAUGCUCUUACCUGUUCAAUCAUCAUACUACACAGACUCUGGAAAUGCCUUGUGGGCAAACUGUUCUCUUACACAAUACCAUCGAUGCUACACCAUUAAACAGACUUGCAUAUUAAAACGUGAAGCAUGUGUAAGUACCUCAUAAUUAACUGCUGUCUAUUUAACCAGACAGCUCUAGCAAGUUAAUUUGAUGUCUGUUAUGAGAUUUAAUAAUUGUCAGUGAUUUUUAAAAAAAAACAAUUUACUGGUAUAAUCAUUAACUACUUUUAGAUUUAGAUUAUCUUG